UACAGAGGGUGCGAGCGUUGUUCGGAAUUACUGGGCGUAAAGCGUGCGCAGGCGGUUCGUUGUGUCGGCGGUGAAAGCCCCGGGCUUAACCUGGGAAUGGCCGUUGAAACUGGCGAACUGGAGUGUGGCAGAGGGGGGUGGAAUUCCGCGUGUAGCAGUGAAAUGCGUAGAGAUGCGGAGGAACACCGAUGGCGAAGGCAGCCCCCUGGGCUAACACUGACGCUCAGGCACGAAAGCGUGGGGAGCAAACAGG
rnacentral:rRNA from 1 species